UGCCCAGCAAUUCCUAUCCCUACCUCCACGUGGUACCGGCUGGAAACUAACGGAAAAUC
rnacentral:ribozyme from 1 species